rnacentral:lncRNA from 1 species
GCAGGCAACACCCUCUCACUGCCCCAUCUACUCCCAUGUUAAUUGGAGAUUAGAAAUUUUGAAAGGAGCUUGUUGAACCUCUUCUCUCUCAAUCUCCCAAGGUCUCAUUUUUUAACUUUAGCCACUGAAACUCGGCAGUCUUAUAGUCAACAAGAUGACAAUGCUCACGGUCUUUUCGGUUUUCAUUUCGGUCGUUCCUGGCCAUGGGUUCGAGGGGAUUCAUUUUAAAUGUUUCUGUCUCUCUCAAGAGUCUCAAGUGCUGUGGUCUCCCCUGGUUUCCAUGACAACCAAAGCCUGCCUUUCACACACACACAUAGCUAGCUACAGAGGCUGACAAAGCAUUAACACUAGAACUACCAAGGCAGUCAUUUUGACCGUUUUUAAAUUUUACAGUGUAAUAACUUUGUUAAAAUAAAAUCAAUGUGGCUGUAGGACUCUGACUUUUCCUAAAUAUGUGUAUAUUUUAUUCUGACACUGUUAUUUUAUUAAAAUCACAAAACACAAAACAGUUCUGACUAUUUCUACCUAGAAUGACCAUGGCGGUCAUUUUGACCGCACGCAUUAUAGAUAUCAUAUUUAAGUCCGCUACAUUUCCCGCCAUUGGUAAUGAACGUCCCCGUUGCAUAGCAACGAUCUGUCCUUCUUUGUUUACGCUAUUCCAACACUAUAAGUUAUACAUUUGAGCUAACAAAAUGUCAUCAAAAAGAACAAUGACAGCCACAGAGGCUUUAGCCAUGCUUCGGAGGCUCGACGAUGAGGAGUCUGAUGGAGGAGCAGGUACGGAUCGGGACAGCGAUGUCUCUUGGUCCCUGGACAGUUCAUCCAGCUCUGAGAGUGAUUCAGAUAAUGAAUUCAUUCCCCGUCGAAAAAAGAGCCGUCUGGACAUCUCCGAUCCUGGAACUGACCUUGUUCCAUCGGAUAAUAUUCCAGUGCAAAAUCCUGAUCCAUCAAAUGUGCCUGCUUUGCCAAGACAACUCAGUCCGCCACGAGAUGAGGAAGCUGGCCCAAUAAACCCACUUUCAGCCGAGAGGCGUGAAACGGCGA